rnacentral:rRNA from 1 species
GGGUUGUGAGGUUAAGCGACUAAGCGUACACGGUGGAUGCCCUGGCAGUCAGAGGCGAUGAAGGACGUGCUAAUCUGCGAUAAGCGUCGGUAAGGUGAUAUGAACCGUUAUAACCGGCGAUUUCCGAAUGGGGAAACCCAGUGUGUUUCGACACACUAUCAUUAACUGAAUCCAUAGGUUAAUGAGGCGAACCGGGGGAACUGAAACAUCUAAGUACCCCGAGGAAAAGAAAUCAACCGAGAUUCCCCCAGUAGCGGCGAGCGAACGGGGAGCAGCCCAGAGCCUGAAUCAGUGUGUGUGUUAGUGGAAGCGUCUGGAAAGGCGCGCGAUACAGGGUGACAGCCCCGUACACAAAAAUGCACAUGCUGUGAGCUCGAUGAGUAGGGCGGGACACGUGGUAUCCUGUCUGAAUAUGGGGGGACCAUCCUCCAAGGCUAAAUACUCCUGACUGACCGAUAGUGAACCAGUACCGUGAGGGAAAGGCGAAAAGAACCCCGGCGAGGGGAGUGAAAAAGAACCUGAAACCGUGUACGUACAAGCAGUGGGAGCACGCUUCGGCGUGUGACUGCGUACCUUUUGUAUAAUGGGUCAGCGACUUAUAUUCUGUAGCAAGGUUAACCGAAUAGGGGAGCCGAAGGGAAACCGAGUCUUAACUGGGCGUUAAGUUGCAGGGUAUAGACCCGAAACCCGGUGAUCUAGCCAUGGGCAGGUUGAAGGUUGGGUAACACUAACUGGAGGACCGAACCGACUAAUGUUGAAAAAUUAGCGGAUGACUUGUGGCUGGGGGUGAAAGGCCAAUCAAACCGGGAGAUAGCUGGUUCUCCCCGAAAGCUAUUUAGGUAGCGCCUCGUGAAUUCAUCUCCGGGGGUAGAGCACUGUUUCGGCAAGGGGGUCAUCCCGACUUACCAACCCGAUGCAAACUGCGAAUACCGGAGAAUGUUAUCACGGGAGACACACGGCGGGUGCUAACGUCCGUCGUGAAGAGGGAAACAACCCAGACCGCCAGCUAAGGUCCCAAAGUCAUGGUUAAGUGGGAAACGAUGUGGGAAGGCCCAGACAGCCAGGAUGUUGGCUUAGAAGCAGCCAUCAUUUAAAGAAAGCGUAAUAGCUCACUGGUCGAGUCGGCCUGCGCGGAAGAUGUAACGGGGCUAAACCAUGCACCGAAGCUGCGGCAGCGACGCUUAUGCGUUGUUGGGUAGGGGAGCGUUCUGUAAGCCUGUGAAGGUGUGCUGUGAGGCAUGCUGGAGGUAUCAGAAGUGCGAAUGCUGACAUAAGUAACGAUAAAGCGGGUGAAAAGCCCGCUCGCCGGAAGACCAAGGGUUCCUGUCCAACGUUAAUCGGGGCAGGGUGAGUCGACCCCUAAGGCGAGGCCGAAAGGCGUAGUCGAUGGGAAACAGGUUAAUAUUCCUGUACUUGGUGUUACUGCGAAGGGGGGACGGAGAAGGCUAUGUUGGCCGGGCGACGGUUGUCCCGGUUUAAGCGUGUAGGCUGGUUUUCCAGGCAAAUCCGGAAAAUCAAGGCUGAGGCGUGAUGACGAGGCACUACGGUGCUGAAGCAACAAAUGCCCUGCUUCCAGGAAAAGCCUCUAAGCAUCAGGUAACAUCAAAUCGUACCCCAAACCGACACAGGUGGUCAGGUAGAGAAUACCAAGGCGCUUGAGAGAACUCGGGUGAAGGAACUAGGCAAAAUGGUGCCGUAACUUCGGGAGAAGGCACGCUGAUAUGUAGGUGAAGCGACUUGCUCGUGGAGCUGAAAUCAGUCGAAGAUACCAGCUGGCUGCAACUGUUUAUUAAAAACACAGCACUGUGCAAACACGAAAGUGGACGUAUACGGUGUGACGCCUGCCCGGUGCCGGAAGGUUAAUUGAUGGGGUCAGCGCAAGCGAAGCUCUUGAUCGAAGCCCCGGUAAACGGCGGCCGUAACUAUAACGGUCCUAAGGUAGCGAAAUUCCUUGUCGGGUAAGUUCCGACCUGCACGAAUGGCGUAAUGAUGGCCAGGCUGUCUCCACCCGAGACUCAGUGAAAUUGAACUCGCUGUGAAGAUGCAGUGUACCCGCGGCAAGACGGAAAGACCCCGUGAACCUUUACUAUAGCUUGACACUGAACAUUGAGCCUUGAUGUGUAGGAUAGGUGGGAGGCUUUGAAGUGUGGACGCCAGUCUGCAUGGAGCCGACCUUGAAAUACCACCCUUUAAUGUUUGAUGUUCUAACGUUGACCCGUAAUCCGGGUUGCGGACAGUGUCUGGUGGGUAGUUUGACUGGGGCGGUCUCCUCCUAAAGAGUAACGGAGGAGCACGAAGGUUGGCUAAUCCUGGUCGGACAUCAGGAGGUUAGUGCAAUGGCAUAAGCCAGCUUGACUGCGAGCGUGACGGCGCGAGCAGGUGCGAAAGCAGGUCAUAGUGAUCCGGUGGUUCUGAAUGGAAGGGCCAUCGCUCAACGGAUAAAAGGUACUCCGGGGAUAACAGGCUGAUACCGCCCAAGAGUUCAUAUCGACGGCGGUGUUUGGCACCUCGAUGUCGGCUCAUCACAUCCUGGGGCUGAAGUAGGUCCCAAGGGUAUGGCUGUUCGCCAUUUAAAGUGGUACGCGAGCUGGGUUUAGAACGUCGUGAGACAGUUCGGUCCCUAUCUGCCGUGGGCGCUGGAGAACUGAGGGGGGCUGCUCCUAGUACGAGAGGACCGGAGUGGACGCAUCACUGGUGUUCGGGUUGUCAUGCCAAUGGCACUGCCCGGUAGCUAAAUGCGGAAGAGAUAAGUGCUGAAAGCAUCUAAGCACGAAACUUGCCCCGAGAUGAGUUCUCCCUGACUCCUUGAGAGUCCUGAAGGAACGUUGAAGACGACGACGUUGAUAGGCCGGGUGUGUAAGCGCAGCGAUGCGUUGAGCUAACCGGUACUAAUGAACCGUGAGGCUUAACCUUACAACGCCGAAGCUGUU